UUCAACAAACUGCACAGGUAAGAAGUGACACAAAAGGGAACUGGUGUAUUUUAAUGUCUGCAAUGGCUGAAUGCUCUUUUUUCAGAUACAAGAAGCUCUAAGAGGAAUUUCCAUUCAGGUGUUAUUCUCUCUCUGGGCCUGCUGAGCACUCUCAUGUUCAUUGGGCUCAUCACUCUUGGUGUCUAUUAUCGUGACACAGCUGCAAAUCUCUCUGAGAUGAGUAACAAACUUGCCGCCACAACUGAGGAGAGAGACCUUCUUCAUGCUAACCUCACUGAAAAUACCAGGGAGCUGGAAAGUCUUCAGAAUUUGACCAAACUGAAAAUUUCUCUCCAGUCACAUCAAGAAAUGUGCCUGGAUUGGGUUAAAUGACCGAGAAGAGGAAGGAAAGUGGAAAUGGUUUGACGGAACCUCACUGACUCUGAUACUCUCAUAUAUGCAACCCACCUUCUCCCCAUCUCAGCCUCACCCAAGUCACUCAAAGCACCAUUCAAGCCUUCAUCUUCACCACCACCAGCAUUUAGACUCUGGUGUGUCCUGUCC